UCCUCAGUAGUAUAGUGGUAAAUAUUCUUGCCUGUCAUGUGAGAGAUUAGGGUUAGAUUCCCUGCUAGGGAG
rnacentral:tRNA from 1 species